rnacentral:misc_RNA from 1 species
CAGCACAUUCAGCCUCAGAGCUAGGUCCACGGCGAAUGCUCCCUGGUCCUCACGUGCAGCGAAAGUCUAACAGAGUUAACGCCAAGCCCGAAGCACCAAACGUGCUGCAUUGCCGAAACGGUCCGGCCGAACGCGCGCGAUGGUCAGGCGCGGAUUAGCAACCAUCUGGCGCUUCUACGAAAUUUUUUCGCGAUCACAUUUGAAACCGGUGU